GCGGGCGUAGCUCAGUUGGUAGAGCACCACGUUGCCAACGUGGUUGUCGGCGGUUCGAGUCCGCUCGCCCGCU
rnacentral:tRNA from 1 species